UUCCGACCCAAGUGAGCAGGCGAAGAGAGAGGUGGAGGGAGACGUGUUCCAAGGAGCUCCGGUCCAACUCACUAAGGAGGAGGAAUAUAAAGACCUCUUGACAUUCACCUGCCCUCUCUGUACCACUAACGUCUACAGCAACGUCUUUCAGCGAGCGCUAUGUUGGAUGCGGAGCGUCGCUGCACAGCUAUUUUCAGGUCUCUCCAGAGAUGAUGCUGCCACCACCAUGCUUCACUGUAGGGAUGGUGCCAGGUUUCCUCCAGAAGUGACGCUUGGGAUUCAGGCCUUUUGGCAAACUCCGAGUGGCCUGUCAUGUUUCUUUUACUGAGGAGUGACUUUCGUCUAGCCACACUACCAUAAAGGCUUGAUUGGUGGAGUGUUGCAGAGAUGGUUGUCCUUCUGGAAGGUUCUCCCAUCUCCACAGAGGAACUCUGGGGUUCUGUCAGAGUGAACACCGGGUUCUUGGUUACCUCCCUGACCAAGGCCCUUCUCCCCCAGUUGCUCAGUUUGCACGUGCGGCCAGCUCCAGGAAGAGUGAUUAGAAUGGCCACUGUGUUUUUGGGGACCUUCAAUGCUGCAGACAUUUUUUGGUACCCUUCCAAAGAUCUGUGCCCCGACACAAUCCUGUCUCUGUGCUCUACGAACAAGUCCUUCGACCUCAUGGCUUUGUUUUUGCUCUGACAUGCGCUGUCUACUGUGGGACCUUAUAUAGACAGGUGUGUGCCUUUCCAAAUCAUGUCCAAUCAAAUUAAUUUAUCACAGGUUGUAGAAACAUCUCAAGGAUGAUUAAUGGAAACAGGAUGCACCUGAGCUCAAUUUCGAGUCUCAUUGCCAAGGGUGCGAAUAAUUAUGUAAAUAAGGUAUUUCUGUUUAUUAUGUUUAUACAUUAGUAAACAUUUCUAAAAAACCUGUUUUUGCUUUGUCAUUAUGGUGUAUCGUGUGUAGACUGAUGAAACAUUUUUAUUGAAUCCAUUUUAGAAUAAGGCUGUAACAUAACAAUGUGGGAAAAGUAAAGGGGUCUGAAUACUUUCUGAAUGCACUGUACCAUAUGUCUUGAACUGUUGCUAGUGAAGUGCAAC
rnacentral:lncRNA from 1 species